rnacentral:rRNA from 1 species
AUGCAGUCGAGCGGAGAAUGAGAGCUUGCUCUCAUUUCUCAGCGGCGGACGGGUGAGUAACACGUGGGCAACCUGCCCUGCAGACUGGGAUAACUCCGGGAAACCGGAGCUAAUACCGGGUAAUACAUAGCAUCGCAUGAUGCAACGUUGAAAGUUGGCUUUCGAGCUAACACUGUAGGAUGGGCCCGCGGCGCAUUAGCUAGUUGGUAAGGUAAUGGCUUACCAAGGCAACGAUGCGUAGCCGACCUGAGAGGGUGAUCGGCCACACUGGGACUGAGACACGGCCCAGACUCCUACGGGAGGCAGCAGUAGGGAAUCUUCCGCAAUGGACGAAAGUCUGACGGAGCAACGCCGCGUGAGUGACGAAGGCUUUCGGGUCGUAAAGCUCUGUUGUUAGGGAAGAACAAGUACCGUUCGAAUAGGGCGGUACCUUGACGGUACCUAACCAGAAAGCCACGGCUAACUACGUGCCAGCAGCCGCGGUAAUACGUAGGUGGCAAGCGUUGUCCGGAAUUAUUGGGCGUAAAGCGCGCGCAGGCGGUCUCUUAAGUCUGAUGUGAAAGCCCACGGCUCAACCGUGGAGGGCCAUUGGAAACUGGGGGACUUGAGUGCAGAAGAGGAGAGUGGAAUUCCACGUGUAGCGGUGAAAUGCGUAGAUAUGUGGAGGAACACCAGUGGCGAAGGCGGCUCUCUGGUCUGUAACUGACGCUGAGGCGCGAAAGCGUGGGGAGCGAACAGGAUUAGAUACCCUGGUAGUCCACGCCGUAAACGAUGAGUGCUAGGUGUUGGGGGGUUCCACCCUCAGUGCUGAAGUUAACACAUUAAGCACUCCGCCUGGGGAGUACGACCGCAAGGUUGAAACUCAAAGGAAUUGACGGGGGCCCGCACAAGCAGUGGAGCAUGUGGUUUAAUUCGAAGCAACGCGAAGAACCUUACCAGGUCUUGACAUCCUCUGCCACUCCU